rfam:Hordeum vulgare subsp. vulgare, WGS project CAJW01000000 data, contig: morex_contig_56872
UUUGUACUCCCUGUGUUCAGAAAUAUUUGUCAUAAGAAUGGAUGUAUCUAGAUGCAUUUUAGUUUUAGAUACAUCCAUUUUUAUUUAUUUAUACGACAAAUAGUUCUGGACGGAGUGAGUAUAAU